GCACCUGUAACUCAAUCGGUGAGAGUGUUCCCCUACGGAGGGAAAUGUACUGGUUCAAGUCCAGUCAGGUGUG
rnacentral:tRNA from 1 species